GAUGAACGCUGGCGGCGUGCCUAAUACAUGCAAGUCGAGCGAACAGAUGAGGAGCUUGCUCCUCUGACGUUAGCGGCGGACGGGUGAGUAACACGUGGAUAACCUACCUAUAAGACUGGGAUAACUUCGGGAAACCGGAGCUAAUACCGGAUAAUAUAUUGAACCGCAUGGUUCAAUAGUGAAAGACGGUUUUGCUGUCACUUAUAGAUGGAUCCGCGCCGCAUUAGCUAGUUGGUAAGGUAACGGCUUACCAAGGCAACGAUGCGUAGCCGACCUGAGAGCGUGAUCGGCCACACUGGAACUGAGACACGGUCCAGACUCCUACGGGAGGCAGCAAUAGGGAAUCUUCCGCAAUGGGCGAAAGCCUGACGGAGCAACGCCGCGUGAGUGAUGAAGGUCUUCGGAUCGUAAAACUCUGUUAUUAGGGAAGAACAAAUGUGUAAGUAACUAUGCACGUCUUGACGGUACCUAAUCAGAAAGCCACGGCUAACUACGUG
rnacentral:rRNA from 1 species